rnacentral:rRNA from 1 species
CCUACGGGAGGCAGCAGUGGGGAAUAUUGGACAAUGGGCGCAAGCCUGAUCCAGCAACGCCGCGUGAGGGAUGACGGCCUUCGGGUUGUAAACCUCUUUCAGCAGGGACGAAGCGAAAGUGACGGUACCUGCAGAAGAAGGACCGGCCAACUACGUGCCAGCAGCCGCGGUAAU